rfam:Rattus norvegicus chromosome 5, whole genome shotgun sequence.
GGGGAUUUGGCUCAGUGGUAGAGCACUUGCCUAGCAAGCGCAAGGCCCUGGGUUCGGUUCCCAGCUCCG